ACAUGCACACUGUCAGGGCUAGCCUUCCUGCUUACGCGCGCUGCGGAUUGUUGCUCCGUUGUACCUGCUGGGGAAUUCACCUCGUUACUGCUUGAUAUCUUCCACCCCUUACAAAAUCAGUAAAGUUGUGUUUUCUAAUACCAAAGAGGAGGUUUGGCUUUCUGUGGGUGAUUCCCAGACACUGAAGUGCAAAGAAGAGACCCUCCUAGAAAAGUAAAAUAUGACUAAAAGCAAUGGAGAAGAGCCCAAGAUGGGCGGCAGGAUGGAGAGAUUCCAGCAGGGAGUCCGUAAACGCACACUUUUGGCCAAGAAGAAAGUGCAGAACAUUACAAAGGAGGAUGUUAAAAGUUACCUGUUUCGGAAUGCUUUUGUGCUGCUCACUGUCACCGCUGUCAUUGUGGGUGAGUCAUUUGAUUAAAAACAAAAAAACCUGUAUCUUGUUUCUCUGGGGCAUCUGGCUGCCCAGGGAAUAUUAUCAGAUGAACUAGUUGUAGGUAUCAAAAUGAUAGCCUAGGCUUUCCUCUGAUCUUGAUGAUUUUUCUCUAUAAAAAUGACUGUUAUGGCAUGUUUGGAGCAAUAUAUAGUAAACACAUCAUUAGGCAUCAUUAGGCAUUAUGCAAAUCAAUUGUGUGAGGAAGAAAAAUAAAUAAAAUAUUUUCCCAUUUCAUGUAAGGAUAAGGAAGUGAUCAUUUAAUCAUUAGGCAUGACAAAGCAAGCAUGCUAGAUUUGGCCAAAAUGUAAUUAUAUACAAUGUCAGUUGCACUUAAAACUAAUUUAUACAAUUAGUACACCUAAAAUGAGAUGUUGGUUCCGAAUAGUAAUUAUAUUCUAACUGGUGCUGACUUGAAGCUGAGUAUCAACACUUAGACACAGAGACCGAAUCUUUUAUGUGUUUGCACUUUGUCACCCAGCAACUGGGAAAGGUAGAUUGGGGAAAAUGUUAACACAGAUCUCUUUCAUUCAUUGCUUUGCAGAGCCUGCCGUAACCAGCUAUACCUUUUUUUGAAUCAUUUCCAUCUCUUACUAAUUUAGCAGGGUUGACAGCAAUCUGUACUAAUACAAUAUUAUUGUUUUGUUUUGUUUAUUGAUCUUAAAA
rnacentral:sRNA from 1 species